CGACCUCAGAUCAGACGUGGUGACCCACUGAAUUUAAGCAUAUUAGUCAGCGGAGAAAAAGAAACUAACCAGGAUACCCUCAGUAGCAGAGAGCGAACAGGGAAGAGCCCAGUACCGAAUCUACGCCCCACAGUGGGGAGCAGGACAUGUGGCGUACGGAAGACCCACUCCCAAGGGCUGCUCGUGGGGGGCCCAAUUCCUUCUGAUCGAGGCUCAGCCUGUGGAUGGUGUGAGGCUGGUAGUGGCCCCCGGCGUGCCGGGCCUGGGUCUUCCCAGAGUCGGGUUGCUUGGGAAUGCAGCCCAAAGUGGGUGGUAAACUCCAUCUAAGGCUAAAUACCAGCACGAGACCGAUACUCAAGAAGUACCAUAAGGGAAAGAUGAAAAGAACUUUGAAGAGAGUUCAAGAGGGCGUGAAACCGUUAAGAGGUAAAUGGGUGGGGUCCGUGCAGUCUGCAGGGAGGAUUCAACCCAGUGGUGUGUCUGGCCAUGCCAAUGGCCUGGUGGAUCUUUCCUGCCCCCCGUUCCUCCCGACCCCUCUACCCGUCCUCCCUCCCCUGCCACUCUCUGCCUCUGGCCCUCCGCUGCCACCGCCUCCUCCUCGUGAUCCCUUUUCCCCGCUUGGCUCCCUCCCUCCCGGGAGGGUCGGCGGGUCAGGGAAGAGGGUGUGUGUGUGGGUAUUGCCGUGUGGGGCGUUUGGAGUCAGGUGGGCUCCGGCGGGUGUGGGGGUAGGCCGGUGGGGCCGGGGGUGGUGUCUGGCUGGGGACCGUCCCACGGCAGGCAUCUGGCCACUGCCGCGCACAUUUCCAACGUGGCGGUGCACCGCGACUGGCUCCGGUAUGGAUCAGAAGGCCCUGGCGGGGAAGGUGGCCCUGGGGGCCCUGCGACCCUGCACCUCGCCUCGCACGGGUCGCUGGGGGUGCAAGCUCAGUCCCCGGGUGUUACAGCCCUGCCCCGGUGGCAGCUCUCGCUGAAUGAAUCCCAGGGCCGAGGGAGCCAAACCGUCGCCACAUUGUCCCCCUUCCCUGCGCCCAUCCCCGCGUGGGUGCGCCAGUGCCUGGGGUCCGGGCCACCCCUCCCAUGGCAUGACCGCUCCCCCACCCCUCCCCCACCUCCAGCGGUGCGGUAGGUGGGGCGGAAUGUCCCCAUUGCGCAGUGGGCGAGUCACACUGUAGGCCCGGGAUUUGGUUUCUCAAGGGGCGAUUCUGUGGGCUUAACUCUCACUCUCUCUCCUUUCCCCUGUUCAUCCCUCUUCUCUCUUUCCCCCCAAGCUUCUUGGGGUGGGCACGGGGUUGGAGUCGCAGAUGGGGUCGGGUUUAGGGCGCAGGGUGUCAAGCUGCAGUGAAGUGAGUGCACGGAAUCGGCGGCGAUGUCGGCAACCCACCCGACCCAUCUUGAAACACGGACCAAGGAGUCUAACGCGCGUGAGUCAGAGGCUAGUCCGAAAGCCUCCAUGGUGCAAUGAAAGUGAAGGCUGGCUCGCCCCAGCCGCAGUGGGAUCCUGAGGCCUCUCCGGUCCCCCAAGGGCACACCACCGGCCCUUCUCACCUGCUGUGCCGGAGAGGUGGAGCAUGAGCACACGUGUUAGGAGCUGAAAGAUGGUGAGCUAUGCCUGGGCAGGUGGAAACCAGAGGAAACUCUGGUGGAGGUCUGUAGCAGUCCUGAUGUGCAAAUCGGUCAUCCGACCUGGGUAUUGGGGCGAAAGACUAAUCGAACCAUCUAGUAGCUGGUUCCCUCCAAAGUUUCCCUCAGGAUAGCUGGCGCUCUCACACACGAACGACCCACACGCAUGCAGUUUUAUCCGGUCAAGUGAAUGAUUAGAGGUCUACGAUCUCAACCUUUUCUCAAACUUUCAAUGGAUAAGAAGCCCAGCUUGCUGGCGUGGAGCCGUGCGUGGAAUGCGAGUGCCUAGUGGGCCAUUUUUGGUAAGCAGAACUGGCGCUGCAGGAUGAACCGAACGCCAGGUUAAGGUGCCCAAUGAUCAUGCUCAUCAGACCCCAGAAAAGAUGUUGGAUGAUAUAGACAGCAGGACAGUGGCCAUGGAAGUCGGAAUCUGCUAAGGAGUGUGUAACAACUCACCUGCCGAAUCAACUAGCCAAGAAAAUGGAUGGCGCUGGAGCGUCAGGCCCAUACCUGGCCAUUGAUGGCAGUCGGACACACGCACGAGAGGGUCGGGAUCUGGGCGGCAUGGACGUGUUGGGGGGGGUGGCUGCAGGCAGUGUGGGGUGGCGGCGGCAGUGAGGGGUUCUGGGGUUCGUGCCCCAAGCACCCUCCUCCCGCAGUCUGUCCCCAACCCACCCGCCCAGCCAGAGCCCCUCCCGGCCCCGCCGCCCCCAAUACCCCACAGAUGCUAUGCCGUGACGAGUAGGAGGGCCAGCCACUUCGGUGAGCCUUGAAGCCUAGGACGUGGGCUCGGGUGGAGCCGCCACAUGUGCAAAUCUUGUUGGUAGUAGCAAAUAUUCAAACGAGAACUUUGAUGGCUGAAGUGGAGAAGGGUUCCAUGUGAACAGCAGUUGAACAUGGAUCAGUCGGUCCUGAGAGAUGGGUGAGUGCCAUUUCGAAGGGACAGGCGAUGGCCUCUGUUGCCCUCAGCCAAUUGAAAGGGAGUCGGGUCCCCAAAUCCAGAGUGGUGGAGAUGGGCGCUGUGAGGCGUCCAGUGCGGUAAUGCGAAUGAUCCCAGAGAGGCUGGCAGGAGCCCCGUGGAGAGUUCUCUUUUCUUUGUGAAGGGCAGGGUGCCCUGGAAUGGGCUCGUCCCAAGAGAGGGGCCUGUGCCUUGGAAAGCAUUGUGGUUCCAGCAGCAUACGGUGAGCUCUCACUGGCCCUUGAAAGUCCGGGGGAGAGGGUGUAAAUCUCGCGCCAGGCUGUACCCAUAUACGCAGCAGGUCUUCAAGGUGAACAGCCUCUGGCAUGUUGGAACAAUGUAGGUAAGGGAAGUCGGUAAGCCGGAUCCAUAACUUCAGGAUAAGGAUUGGCACUAAAGGCUGGGUCGGUCCGGAUGGGGCACGAAGCGGGGCUGGGCGUGUGCCACGGCUGUACGAGGGGCCACCGACCCCCCUCACCUGGUCUCCCCCCACCCAGGCACACCCCAACAGCCCUCCCCCCUUGCUGUUGGAGCCUUAACCCACCCUUCCUUCAUGCCUCCCUGUGCCGCUGCUAUCUGAUCCUCAACAGCCUCCCCGCAACCCUCUUCCUGGCCAUCCCAAGUGCUCCUCUCCCUGGGAUUCCCCUGGGGAGAUGGGGGUGUGGAAGGAUGGGAGUGUGGCAAAGACUGAGGGCUGGGUUGGAAGGGGGUGGAAGAGGGCUGGCAUGGAGAGGAGGUACAUGGGUGGUGGGGAGAGGGUUUCGGUUCUUUCCCCACUGGUGGCAGGGUGGAGGUGCGCCACGGGGCCCCACAGGCUCACGGGUUUGGCCUGGGCACCCGGGGGGCCGGCUGCCGUGGCGACUGUGGACGCGAGCCGGGCCAUUCCCAUGGAUCACCCCAGCUGUGGCAGGCAUUGUGGCUGCCCCUGGGGAGCCUGGCGGGCGCUGGUGUUGUCUCCCCACUGCGCGCACACUUGCAGUGGCGGGCGCGGGCGGGACAAUGAAGUGGGGGUCUGGGUGGUGUUGGUCAGGGGUGCUCUGCGUGCCUCUGCCACCUCCCUUCCCCCAUCCCGUACCUGCUCGCUCCCCCACCACUGCUGUUUGCGGCAGGGUCAGUGCGCUGGGCCCCCCGCCGGAUGGGCCCCUGGGGCCAUGGUUCUGUGCAGCGCCUUGCCUUGGUUGGCACAUAGCAGCCGACUUAGAACUGGUGCAGACCAGGGGAAUCCGACUGUUUAAAACAAAGCAUCAUGAAGGUCCGCGGCUGGUGUUGAUGCGGGCUGUGUGAUUUCUGCCCAGUGCUCUGAAGGUCAAAGUGAAGAAAUUAAAUGAAGCGCUGGCAAACAGCAGGAGUAACUAUGACUCUCUUAAGGUAGCCAAAUACCUAGUCAUCUAAUUAGUGACGCACAUGAAUGAAUGAAUGAGAUUCCCACUGUCUGUACCUACUAUCCAGAAAAACCACAGCCAAGGGAAUGGCCUUGAUGGAAUCAGUGGGGACAGAAGACCCUGUUGAGCUUGACUCUAGUCUGGCAUGGUGAAGAGACAUGAGAGGUGUAGAAUAAGUGGGAGGCCCCCGGCGCCCUCGCUGUGCUCCCAUUCCCCCAUGUGAGGGGUUGACAGUGCAGAGUUUGGGUCACACUGGCCUCGUGGGCCACUGGUGAAAUACCACUACUCUGAUCGUUUUUUCACUGAUCAGGUGAGGCUGGGGGGCAAGCCCCAAGGGGUUCUCACUUCUGGCGCCAAGCACCCUUGUGUGCACCCAGCCCGUGCGGGCCGGCUGCCCAGGCACGACCUGCUCUGGGGACAGUGCCAGGUGGGGAGUUUGACUGGGGUGGUACACCUGUCAAAUGGUAACUCAGGUGUCCUAAGGCGAGCUCAGGGAGGACAGAAACGUCCUGUGGAGCAGAAGGGCAAAAGCUCGCUUGAUCUUGAUUUUCAGUACAAAUACAGACUGUGAAAGCGGAGCCUCAUGAUCCUUCUGACCUUUGGGGUUUUAAGCAGGAGGUGUCAGAAAAGUUACCAAAGGGAUAACUGGCUUGUGGUGGCCAAGCAUUCAUAGUGAUGUCGCUUUUUGAUCCUUCAAUGUCAGCUCUUCCUAUCAUUGUGAAGCAGAAUUCAUCAAGCAUUGGAUUGUUCACCCACUAAUAGGGAACGUGAGCUGGGUUUGGACCAUUGUGAGACAGGUUAGUUUUACCCUACUGAUGAUGUGUUGUUGCCACGGUAAUCGUGCUCAAUACGAGAGGAACUGCAGGUUCAGACAUUUGGUGUAUGUACUUGGCUGAGGAGCCAAUGGGGCGAAGCUACCAUCUGUGGGAUUAUGACUGAACGCCUCUAAGUCAGAAUCCCACCCAUGCGGAAUGAUAUGGCAGCACUGCGGAGCCUCGGUCGGCCUCAGAUAGCUGGUCCCCUGCCGUCCCUGCCAGCGGGCCUGCUGCUGUCACCACGCGUGGUCGGUUGGUCUCGCCACGCGCCAGGACCGGGAUCUGGUGCGGAGAACCCCUCGUCAUGGGACAAUGGGGUGCGGCCGGAAAGGGGACCACCCCCUCACCCGCCAUGCAACACAUGUUUGUGGGGAACCUGGCGCUAAACCGUUUGUAGAUGACCUGCUUCUGGGUCGGGGUUUCGUACAUAGCACAGCAGCUCCCUCGCUGCGAUCUAUUGAAAGUCAGCCCUCAACACAAGGGUUUGU